CUCUCGUGCCUCUUAACCGGGCAAGCAGGCAGGCUGGCCCUGGCUGCCAGUCUGCCACAAGCAGCAGCAGUUUAGCUUGAGAUGUGACCUCGAUAAGAUGUCUCACCGUCAUCUGGCUGGAUGCUGCCGCGUGAGGAAGGGGAAGGGAAUCAUAAUGCAGAACGUCUCUUUGCACCGGUGGCGCUACAGAAGCAAUCGCUCGAUUCCUGGCGGAGCCUCCUUUCGGAAGGACUUGGAGCGACUGAAGGCUCCUCCUGAAGACUUCGACGGCUACAGCAGAAACCAUGCAAAUGGAGACGACUUGAAAAGUGAGUCAAUAAAUAAUGUCUCCGUCGGGAAAGGAACUGAAAAGUCA